GUAGCUAUACUGAUCAUGUUCACUAAUGUUAGCAACUACAACCUUUAUAUAGUAUGUUAAAACCUUUUCUAUAUUAUGUGUGUAUGUGUAUUUGUGUAUAUGAGAAAGAAGAAAAAAAUCUGUUUUUAAUAUUUGACUUCACUGCAAACUGCAAUAUUUAUUUAACUGCUUAUACAUCAAAUCGUUAAAGUUUAAAAGACCUCGUUCAACUUUACAAUAAAAUCAUUUUUUUUUACAUUACUUAAUACAUUCAUAAAUUGAACUAACAAUACAAAUUAUAUCAUUUACAAUAUUUUAUUUUUGAUUCUGGCAACGAUGUAUAUUUUGUACAAACAAAAUGUGAAUUACUGCAUAUUCCUCACAGGGAAAAUACACUAUACACACCAAACUUUGUCUAUAUGAUGCCAUCGAGCACUGUAACCCUUUGCUGUAAAUUUACAGCGAAUUUCUUACAGAAUUGUACUGUAUUUCCAUAAUACAGUAUAAGGCUGUAUAAUUUACAGAGCAGCUGUAAAUAUACAGCAUAUUUCUGUUUUCUUCCCGAUAAAUUUGUAAUACAGUAUCAGACUGUAAAUGCAUUGCAUUGUGGGAUUGAUUUGAAUUUCGCGCUCAAAUUCAGAUGAGACCUGACGCCAACUGAUGUGCCAACUGUGUGAGUUUUUGUGAGUUUGCAAUUAAUCUUUAAGCUUUUUGGUUUGUGUGAGCUUCGUUUCGUGUAAGCAUUUGUCUGCGUCUUUCAAAUAUGAGUUGCCUGUGACGCAGCAGAAACGGUUAAGUCUCAUGAACUUCAUGAAGAUGGGAGGAAGAAUCGGUCAUGCAUUUGUGAGCAAAAGUGGAUUUUAGAGCUUGAGAAGACUUCAACUGACUGAUACGGUAAGCCAAUCUAUUUGUAUUUAUUUAUUGCGUUCGGUUUAAGUUGCACGAAUAAGUUUGAUUUUGUGAACGUGGCUUUGUAACGCGAAAAAAAAACGCACUCCUUCGAUCUUUACCAAGUAACUAACGUUAACUUAACUUAGAAAUUUCACACAAGCAGCAUACCAUUUCAUUUGCAUGACCUACUUGUGUGUGUGUGUGUGUGUGUGUGUGUGUAUAUAUAUAUAUAUAUAUAUAUAUAUAUAUAUAAACAGGUUACAUAAAAUAAAAUCACGAAACUAAAAAUCACUCGUUCCACCGAGUGAUUUACCAUGUCAUUUGGAUGAUCUGCUUUUUUUUUUCUUCGUUUCAGGUUUUACAAUCUGAUGAAAAAUCCAGUGCUAUUAAGUGCUUCAGUACGUUAGUGUCUAGUCCACGUGCAAAAAUGCCAUGGUGUCAGUUCUGCGAUUGUACUUUUGAAUCGUUGUCAGCAUUUUGCCAGCACAUGAAAAUCCAUAGUCAUGUUCCAAAUUCCGUUUUCAAAUUUGGUAUCAGUCAAAUGUUUCAGUACAGAAUCAGAUGCCGCAUGGUGAGGCCGAACACUCACAUCCACAGUCUGAAUUCUUUGAUUGUGGUGAUGGCAGAGAGCAGUUGGAGAAUGCACUUUUGCCAGAUAAUGCAGAUGAAUCUCUCUCUUUUUUUUUUAAACAUGCAUUUAGUUUUGCAGAAGAAUGAUGAGGGAAUUGUGUUUGGGAACAUUCAGUUAAUUAUUGUACAUGACAAUAGCAAUGUGUAUUUUGUCACAAAGAAAAGUCAGUCUUUUUGUCUUGUAGACCAGGGAGUUCAUUGCUUGAAACCACAAGAUCAAGGCUACCUAUGCAUAAAUCAAGACAGUCUACUGGAUUACUAUCCUCUGCCUGAAUAUUCAUUGUGUGGCUUGUCAGUAAUUGUUCUCUCAUCAUUCCUUCCCAAUUUUAGAAUAAUGUCUGGAAUGAAAGAAGUCUUGAAAGAUGCUGUAUUGUUGGUGUUGCCAAGCCUAUCUCCAUAUGUAACCAACCAGCUUGUUGAGAAAUUCAUGGACCAAGGUGUCGAAGGCUUGGAUGAUUUGGUUUACGUAAAAGAUGACAUUUUGGAGUUCCAAUGCAGAAAACUUCUUUGUUCAUGGAAAAAUCAAGGAAGUGUGGUGAUGGUAUGAGAAAUAUAAAACAGAUUUUAAUUGGCAACAUAUGUAUGAAAGAAUCAACUGUGUUCAGCAAAAUUGUGUGGUCAAUCUCUGAGCAACCAGCUCUGGAUGUUGAGUUUGGAGGGUCAAAUUGUUUGUGAAGGAGCACAGCCCAACUUCAUCACUGGCCUGGCAGCGCUGUUUGCCUCCUAUAAUUUCAAUUUACAGUACCAGGAAGAGGCAUCAUGCACCCUUGAGUUUGUUCAGAGACGCUUUGUUGACAUCAAUCCUGAACGUGGACCGAAAGCAAAAAAAAAGGAAAAGUGACUUCAAAGAAAACUGGCCAAGUUGUGCAAAAAAAGAACGCCACUGUAAGCCCACCAGUUUCCUCACUUCUGCGAAAACUUUCAGACUUUGAAUGGAACUUUGUUUAGAUCCUGUCAGCAAGUACAUUAAAAGUGAUUAUGAUUACUGCAUCAUUAAUUCCAUUUAUAUAAUACAACUGCCAUUUCAGCCAUUUUGAAGCUCUAUUCUUUAAAUAUCUUAAUAAAAA